rnacentral:rRNA from 1 species
UACGUAGGGGGCAAGCGUUGGUCCGGAAUCAUUGGGCGUAAAGAGCGUGUAGGCGGCCUGAUAAGUCGGCUGUGAAAGUCAAGGGCUCAACCCUUGAAUGCCGGCCGAUACUGUCAGGCUAGAGUCCGGAAGAGGCGAGUGGAAUUCCUGGUGUAGCGGUGAAAUGCGCAGAUAUCAGGAGGAACACCGAUGGCGAAGGCAGAUCUCUGGGCCGUAACUGACGCUGAGGAGCGAAAGCAUGGGGAGCGAACAGG